UGGUCAAGUUAUUAAGGGUGCAGGGCGGAUGCCUUGGCACUAGGAGCCGAUGAAGGACGUGAUAAGCUGCGAUAAGCUUCGGGGAGUUGCACGUAAACUUUGAUCCGAAGAUUUCCGAAUGAGGAAACUCACUUAGAGUAAUGUCUAAGUAUCAUUAAGUGAAUACAUAGCUUAAUGAGGGGAACUCAGGGAACUGAAACAUCUAAGUACCUGAAGGAAGAGAAAGAAAUUCGAUUCCGUAAGUAGCGGCGAGCGAACGCGGAUUAGCCCAAACCAAUAAAGUUUUCUUUAUUGGGGUUGCGGACAUAUCAUAACGAAGAGGUAUCGUAAUUGAAGAGGUUUGGAAAGACCCACCACAGAAGGUAAUAGUCCUGUAUGUUAAACGAGAAGACUUUAGAUAUGAUCCAGAGUACCACGGGACACGUGAAACCCUGUGGGAAGCAGGAGGGACCACCCUCCAAGGCUAAAUACUACCUAGUGACCGAUAGCGUAUAGUACCGUGAGGGAAAGGUGAAAAGAACCCCGGGAGGGGAGUGAAAUAGAACCUGAAACCCUGCACUUACAAGCUGUGGAAGCACAUUUCUUGUGUGACCGCGUACUUUUUGUAGAACGGGCCAACGAGUUACGUUAAGUAGCAAGGUUAAGCACUUAAGGUGCGGAGCCGUAGCGAAAGCGAGUUUUAACUGAGCGUUCAGUUACUUGACGUAGACCCGAAACCGGGCGACCUACCCAUGAGCAGGAUGAAGCGAAAGUAAAAUUUCGUGGAGGUCCGAACCCACGAGCGUUGAAAAGCUCGGGGAUGACUUGUGGGUAGCGGUGAAAUUCCAAUCGAGCCCGGAGAUAGCUGGUUCUCCCCGAAAUAGCUUUAGGGCUAGCCUCAAGGUGAGAGAUACGGAGGUAGAGCACUGAAUGUCCUAGGGGGUAUUGCACCUACCGAAGACUAUCAAACUCCGAAUGCCGUCAUCUUAUACUUGGGAGUCAGACUGUGGGUGAUAAGAUUCAUAGUCGAAAGGGCAACAGCCCAGAUCGUCAGCUAAGGUCCCUAAAUGUAAGUUAAGUGGUAAAGGAUGUGGGAUUGCACAGACAACCAGGAUGUUGGCUUAGAAGCAGCCACUCAUUCAAAGAGUGCGUAAUAGCUCACUGGUCGAGUGAUCCUGCGCCGAAGAUUUCCGGGGCUAAAACUUACUACCGAAGCUACGGCAUCAGUAAUGAUGGGUAGGGGAGCUUCCCAUACGGGUUGAAGCAUGACCGUAAGGACAUGUGGACAGUAUGGGAGUGAGAAUGUUGGCAUGAGUAGCGAGAUGUGGGUGAGAAUCCCACAGGCCGUAAACCCAAGGUUUCCAGGGGAAGGUUCGUCCGCCCUGGGUUAGUCGGGACCUAAGCUGAGGCCGAAAGGCGUAGGUGAUGGACAACAGGUUGAUAUUCCUGUACUACCGAUAACCGUUUGAGAGAAGGGAUGACACAGUAGGAUAAGCUAAGCACACUGUUGGUUAUGUGUGCCCAAGCAUUGAGGCAGUCAAAGUAGGCAAAUCCGCUUUGAUAAUGCUGGGAUGUGAUGGGGAGCGAAAUUUAGUAGCGAAGUAGCUGAUUUCACACUGUCAAGAAAAGUCUCUAUCGAGGUUAAAGGUACCCGUACCGCAAACCGACACAGGUGGGUGAGGAGAGUAUCCUAAGGCCAGCGAGAGAACUGUUGUUAAGGAACUCGGCAAAAUGACCCCGUAACUUAGGGAUAAGGGGUGCCACCAUCAGGUGGCCGCAGAGAAUAGGCCCAAGCGACUGUUUACCAAAAACAUAGGUUUCUGCUAAGUCGCAAGACGAUGUAUAGGAGCUGACGCCUGCCCGGUGCUGGAAGGUUAAGGGGAUCUGUUAGAGCAAUCGAAGCAGUGAACUUAAGCCCCAGUAAACGGCGGCCGUAACUAUAACGGUCCUAAGGUAGCGAAAUUCCUUGUCGGGUAAGUUCCGACCCGCACGAAAGGCGUAACGAUUUGGGCACUGUCUCAACAACAGACUCGGUGAAAUUGUAAUUCCGGUGAAGAUGCCGGAUACCUGCGACAGGACGGAAAGACCCCAUGGAGCUUUACUGUAGCUUGACAUUGGGUCUUGGUACUACAUGUACAGGAUAGGUGGGAGGCUUUGAAACCAGGACGCCAGUUUUGGCGGAGCCAUCCUUGGGAUACCACCCUUGUAGUACUGGGACUCUAACCAUAGGCCAUGAAUCUGGUCUUGGGACACUGUCAGGUGGGCAGUUUGACUGGGGCGGUCGCCUCCCAAAAGGUAACGGAGGCGCUCAAAGGUUCUCUCAGUACGGUCGGAAAUCGUACGCAGAGUGUAAAGGCAAAAGAGAGCUUGAUUGCAAGACAUACAGGUCGAGCAAGGAUGAAAAUCGGACUUAGUGAUCCGGUGGUUCUGCGUGGAAGGGCCAUCGCUCAACGGAUAAAAGCUACCCUGGGGAUAACAGGCUUAUCUCCCCAAGAGUCCACAUCGACGGGGAGGUUUGGCACCUCGAUGUCGGCUCAUCACAUCCUGGGGCUGUAGUAGGUCCCAAGGGUUGGGCUGUUCGCCCAUUAAAGUGGUACGCGAGCUGGGUUCAGAACGUCGUGAGACAGUUCGGUCCCUAUCCGUCGCAGGCGUAGGAAAUUUGAGAAGACCUGUCCUUAGUACGAGAGGACCGGGAUGGACGUACCUCUGGUGUACCAGUUGUUCUGCCAAGGGCAUGGCUGGGUAGCUAUGUACGGAAUGGAUAAGCGCUGAAAGCAUCUAAGCGCGAAGCCAACUUCAAGAUAAGAUUUCCCACCGCAAGGGUAAGACCCCAGAAAGACUAUCUGGUUGAUAGGUCGAAGGUGUAAGUGCAGCAAUGUAUUUAGCUUAUCGAUACUAAUAGGUCGAGGACUUGACCAAU
rnacentral:rRNA from 1 species